rnacentral:tRNA from 1 species
GGAGACAUAGCCAAGCGGCGCAAGGCAAGGGACUUUGACUCCCUGAUGCGGAGGUUCGAAUCCUCCUGUCUCUGCCA